rnacentral:tRNA from 1 species
GGGCAGGUACCCAAGUGGCCAAAGGGAACGGUCUGUAAAACCGCUGGCUCAGCCUUCGGAGGUUCGAAUCCUUCCCUGCCCACCA